UACGGAGGGAGCUAGCGUUGUUCGGAAUUACUGGGCGUAAAGCGCGCGUAGGCGGCUAUUCAAGUCAGAGGUGAAAGCCCGGGGCUCAACCCCGGAAUUGCCUUUGAAACUAGAUAGCUAGAAUCUGGGAGAGGUGAGUGGAAUUCCGAGUGUAGAGGUGAAAUUCGUAGAUAUUCGGAAGAACACCAGUGGCGAAGGCGGCUCACUGGACCAGAAUUGACGCUGAGGUGCGAAAGCGUGGGGAGCAAACAGG
rnacentral:rRNA from 1 species